rfam:Loxodonta africana unplaced genomic scaffold scaffold_25, whole genome shotgun sequence.
ACAGCUUUGGACAAAAGUCUACAGCCAGUGCAUCUGAAACUCCCCUUCACGAGGGCUGACAGUAGCUGGGGGAAGACAUUUACUCACUUGCUGGCUCCUUUUAUACAGUCAGCUCAUCCGUUUUCUCAGGUAUAGAUCAUCUACACCUAUAUUAUAAUUUCACCUAUGUUGAUACCUGAUGAGGAAAAUCCCAGGACUUGUCAGCUGGGAUAGGCCUCGUUCCAAGACAGCUCU